GGGUAUUGGGGGGGGAUAGACUGCGAGUCGAGCGUCUCCAGCUAUGGUGAGACGCGGCAGACGGCUCAGUAACACGUGGCUAACCUACCCUCAGGACAGGGACAAACCCGGGAAACUGGGGCUAAUACCCGAUAGAACAUUAUGCCUGGAAUGGUUUAUGUUUCAAAUGAUUUAUCGCCGUAGGAUGGGACUGCGGCCUAUCAGUUUGUUGGUGAGGUAAUGGCCCACCAAGACUAUUACAGGUACGGGCUCUGAGAGGAGUAGCCCGGAGAUGGGUACUGAGACACGGACCCAGGCCCUAUGGGGCGCAGCAGGCGAGAAAACUUUGCAAUGUGCGAAAGCACGACAAGGUUAAUCCGAGUGGUUUCUGCUAAAGGAACCUUUUGUCAGUCCUAGAAACACUGAUGAAUAAGGGGUGGGCAAGUUCUGGUGUCAGCCGCCGCGGUAAAACCAGCACCUCAAGUGGUCAGGAUGAUUAUUGGGCCUAAAGCAUCCGUAGCCGGCUCUGUAAGUUUUCGGUUAAAUCUGUACGCUCAACGUACAGGCUGCCGGGAAUACUGUAGAGCUAGGGAGUGGGAGAGGUAGACGGUACUCGGUAGGAAGGGGUAAAAUCCUUUGAUCUAUUGAUGACCACCUGUGGCGAAGGCGGUCUACCAGAACACGUCCGACGGUGAGGGAUGAAAGCUGGGGGAGCAAACCGGAUUAGAUACCCGGGUAGUCCCAGCUGUAAGCUAUGCAAACUCAGUGAUGCAUUGGCUUGAUGCCAAUGCAGUGCUGCAGGGAAGCCGUUAAGUUUGCCGCCUGGGAAGUACGUACGCAAGUAUGAAACUUAAAGGAAUUGGCGGGGGAGCACAACAAGGGGUGAAGCUUGCGGUUCAAUUGGAUUCAACGCCGGG
rnacentral:rRNA from 1 species